rnacentral:lncRNA from 1 species
GUACGGAUGCCUUUGUGGGAGGUGCUGUUACCACGUCUAAAUCUAAGCCUCUGAUUUUGUAUUCCCUGCACUGUAAGGGGCAGCCCAAGGGGGCCAGGGGUCGGUGGGAGGGGCAUCAAGAAGGAGAAAGCUUUAAAAGGAAAGAUUUACGAGGCCAUGAAGACGUUCUUCCCAGACUCCUGAGUGCAAGGAGCCAGAGGCAGAGAUCAAGUGCUGGUGCUUUAAGUAGAAGGUGCAAUCCCUGGGCAUUGGGAAUACAGAAAAGGGAACAACAACAACAACAAAAAAAAAAACAGAAAGAAUGAGAAUAAAUAAAAUAUGAGUGAGUUCCUACACUGACUACUGCUUCAUGUGAAGCCACAAAGGGACACACUGGUCACUUGACAGAAGCAUUAGCUG